UGGUUUUACUUGAUAUUUAGUUAAACUAUUAAAAGGAAAUAUAAAAACUCAUUAAAUACCAAAAUAUAAUGCUAUUUUUUAAUUAACAUUCUACAGACGGCGUUUGGAACACAAAUAUUGUUUGUAGUUAUUAUAUAUUAAUAAAAUAUCAUUUUAAAAAGUUCAUGAUUUUACACCUUAACACUUUGGUGAUUUUAUACAUGUAUAUUGUAUACGUGUGCUAACAUGCAAAAACUGGUCAUCCAAAACGGUACUAUUGUCGAGAAUGUCGCUUUCUUUAUUAUCUUAUAAAUAAAGAGAAAAAGAUAAAAGGUCAUUAUCGACCAAAAUUCCAAUUUAUGUCAUGGAUUUGAACGUAUUAGCAGGUGUAAUGUACAAGUAAAAAUUAUUUUUUUUUAUUAAAAACAUCAUUGGAUAUCGAAAAAAAAUUGUUUACAAACAGAAUUCAGUGAAAAUUUGCAAAUUAAAUAUAUAAAGGUCAGAAGUCAAUUAAAUUGUACUGAACACAAAAAAUGCCACUGAAUAUAAUCUUAAACUUCCGUAACAGCUCCCAUGCUUAAAUUUAUUAUACAAUAACAAGUAUCUAUGAAACGUAACAAAAACAUAUCGAUGCAACACUCGAACUGUUUCAUUUCCUUCGGUUUCCUUUGGCCAUUUAUUAAUGGUGUUCCACGGCGAACCUUUUUCCUUUCUCUCGCUCGGGAAUUGAACACUUUGUACGCGCUGGAUCUGAACCAAACGCAUUUAACGAAGCUAAUAAUUUUGCGCUAGGUCGAAAUUUCGUCCCGACCGGAAACUUUAUUGAAGACACCGCCACCCAGCCGAAUUAUAAAGGUUUUGCUGUGGUUAGAAAUGGCGGGGUCGUGGGUGGGGAGCAAUGGGGUAGUGAUAUCGAUACAAGGCGAUUUAUCCAGGAAAAUAUAUUUAUAUAUAUAUAAUAUAUAUGUCAUACAUUAUGGUUUCAUUGUAAACGCUUUACACACCAAAUGACUGAUAUCAGAUUGUAAAUUAUACACCAAUUUUUAUGAAACAGGAUUAAAUUACAAAAAUUAAUAAUCUAAAUAUUUAUCAAAAGGAUUCUAACCAGUGUCAAUU